AUGACUACUUAUCUCAGUGAUAUUUACGAGGGUGCUGUGUGGGGCAAUUCCAUCCAAUCCAUUGAACCCGACGUGUCUGUCACAGAAGGAGGCGCUGUGGCAGUCAGCUGCUCCUACAGCACCGGCUAUAGCGGUGUCUCUCUCCACUGGUACCGCCAGAGCCCCAGCCAAGCCCCGCAGUACAUUCUCCAGAGAGGCGCGAAGGGAAGCACCAUCAGUGACCACGCAGAUUUUGCCCGGAGGAGGUUCACUGCUGACGCUAACGCGACUGCUACAGUUCUGACCAUCUCAGGCCUGGAGCUGGCGGACGAAGCUGUGUAUUAUUGUGCCUUGAAUGAGACACAGUGA